AUAGUAAUUGAGGCCACAAGCUU
rnacentral:snRNA from 1 species